rnacentral:tRNA from 1 species
UCCCUGAUAGUUCAGUUGGUAAAGAAUCUGCCUGCAAUGCAGGAGACCCUAGUUAGAUUUCUGGGUUGGGAAG